rnacentral:rRNA from 1 species
GGGGGAUAUUGCACAAUGGGGGAAACCCUGAUGCAGCGACGCCGCGUGGAGGAAGAAGGUUUUCGGAUUGUAAACUCCUGUCGUUAGGGACGAUAAUGACGGUACCUAACAAGAAAGCACCGGCUAACUACGUGCCAGCAGCCGCGGUAAAACGUAGGGUGCAAGCGUUGUCCGGAAUUACUGGGUGUAAAGGGAGCGCAGGCGGGAAGACAAGUUGGAAGUGAAAACCAUGGGCUCAACCCAUGAAUUGCUUUCAAAACUGUUUUUCUUGAGUAGUGCAGAGGUAGAUGGAAUUCCCGGUGUAGCGGUGGAAUGCGUAGAUAUCGGGAGGAACACCAGUGGCGAAGGCGGUCUACUGGGCACCAACUGACGCUGAGGCUCGAAAGCAUGGGUAGCAAACAGGAUUAGAUACCCUGGUAGUCCAUGCCGUAAACGAUGAUUACUAGGUGUUGGGGGAUUGACCCCCUCAGUGCCGCAGUUAACACAAUAAGUAAUCCACCUGGGGAGUACGACCGCAAGGUUGAAACUCAAAGGAAUUGACGGGGGCCCGCACAAGCAGUGGAGUAUGUGGUUUAAUUCGAAGCAACGCGAAGAACCUUACCAGGUCUUGACAUCCGAUGCAUAGCACAGAGAUGUGUGAAAUCCUUCGGGACAUCGGGACAGGUGGUGCAUGGUUGUCGUCAGCUCGUGUCGUGAGAUGUUGGGUUAAGUCCCGCAACGAGCGCAACCCUUAUUGCCAGUUACUACGUUAAGAGGACUCUGGCGAGACUGCCGUUGACAAAACGGAGGAAGGUGGGGAUGACGUCAAAUCAUCAUGCCCUUUAUGACCUGGGCUACACACGUACUACAAUGGCGUUAAACAAAGAGAAGCAAGACCGCGAGGUGGAGCAAAACUCAAAAACAACGUCUCAGUUCAGAUUGCAGGCUGCAACUCGCCUGCAUGAAGUCGGAAUUGCUAGUAAUCGCGGAUCAGCAUGCCGCGGUGAAUACGUUCCCG